GAUGAACGCUAGCUACAGGCUUAACACAUGCAAGUCGAGGGGUAACGAGAGGAAAGCUUGCUUUCCUUGUCGACGACCGGCGCACGGGUGAGUAACGCGUAUCCAACCUGCCCCCAACUAAGGAAUAACCUUGCGAAAGUAAGACUAAUACCUUAUAAUUUCCUCAGAUGUCAUCUGACGAGGAAUAAAGAUUUAUCGGUUGUGGAUGGGGAUGCGUCUGAUUAGCUUGUUGGCGGGGUAACGGCCCACCAAGGCAACGAUCUGUAGGGGUUCUGGGAGGAAGGUCCCCCACAUUGGGACUGAGACACGGUCCAAACUCCUACGGGAGGCAGCAGUGAGGAAUAUUGGUCAAUGGGCGGAAGCCUGAACCAGCCAAGUAGCGUGCAGGAUGACGGCCCUAUGGGUUGUAAACUGCUUUUAUACAGGAAUAAAGUUAGCCACGUGUGGUUAUUUGUAGGUACUGUAUGAAUAAGGACCGGCUAAUUCCGUGCCAGCCGCCGCGGUAA
rnacentral:rRNA from 1 species